rnacentral:rRNA from 1 species
GAACGCUAGCGGCAGGCUUAAUACAUGCAAGUCGUGGGGCAGCAUGAGUAGCAAUACUUGAUGGCGACCGGCAAACGGGUGAGGAACACGUACACAACCUUCCUUCAAGCGGGGAAUAGCCCAGAGAAAUUUGGAUUAAUACCCAUAAUAUAUUUGAUAAGGCAUCUUAUUAAUAUUAAAGCUUCGGCACUUGAUGAUGGGUGUGCGGCUGAUUAGAUAGUUGGCGGGUAACGGCCCACCAAGUCUACGAUCAGUAGCUGAUGUGAGAGCAUGAUCAGCCACACGGGCACUGAGACACGGGCCCGACUCCUACGGGAGGCAGCAGUAAGGAAUAUUGGACAAUGGACGAAAGUCUGAUCCAGCCAUGCCGCGUGAAGGAUUAAGGUCCUCUGGAUUGUAAACUUCUUUUAUAUGGGACGAAAAAAGGGCAUUCUUGUUCACUUGACGGUACCAUAUGAAUAAGCACCGGCUAACUCCGUG